AAGGAUGAACGGCCCAUCAGAA
rnacentral:snRNA from 1 species